GUCAGCAGCCGCGGUAACACCGGCGGCCCGAGUGGUGAUCGUGAUUAUUGGGUCUAAAGGGUCCGUAGCCGGUUGGUCAGUCCUCCGGGAAAUCUGAUAGCUCAACUAUUAGGCUUUCGGGGGAUACUGCCAGACUUGGAACCGGGAGAGGUAAGAGGUACUACAGGGGUAGGAGUGAAAUCUUGUAAUCCCUGUGGGACCACCUGUGGCGAAGGCGUCUUACCAGAACGGGUUCGACGGUGAGGGACGAAAGCUGGGGGCACGAACCGGAUUAGAUACCCGGGUAGUCCCAGCCGUAACGAUGCUCGCUAGGUGUCAGGCAUGGCGCGACCGUGUCUGGUGCCGCAGGGAAGCCGUGAAGCGAGCCACCUGGGAAGUACGGCCGCAAGGCUGAAACUUAAAGGAAUUGGCGGGGGAGCACAACAACGGGGUGGAGCCUGCGGUUUAAUUGGACUCAACGCCGGACAACUCACCGGGGGCGACAGCAAUAUGUAGGCCAAGCUGAAGACUUUGCCUGAAUCGCUGAGAAGAGGUGCAUGG
rnacentral:rRNA from 1 species